CCUAGUCUCAGCAUGCAGGGAGGUCUCUGUAUUCUGUGGAGGAAGUGGCUGGACCAACCAAAAUACAAUUGCUCAACAUCGGUCUUUGGAAGACAGGGGGACUUCUGGCCUUCAGGCAUUGGAGCUUCUAUGGGGAGGGAAUGAUCCAGUUCUUCUAUUGACUUUAUACAUUUUGGAUAACAUCCAAUCUGACCUCUCCCAGCUUCUGUCUGGGUGUUUGAACUGUUAGAUUAUCUUUGGCAGCUAAGAAUAUAUUUUUUAUUUUUUUAUACCAAAGUGAAUAUUGAUGUUCAGCGGGUUAUCAAAACACAAGCUUACAUUACUGCAAAGAAACCAUGGCUGUAUUCUUUUCAGAAUGAAGUCAUGAAUUUCUCCUCACGUUGGAGAACAGGACAGUAAAUUAUGUGGGGGACAGAUUCAAAUACAGUUUUGCAGUGAGCAGAUCUAUACAGAUGUUUUAGGAAAGCAUCUUUGUGAAGGAUCUGUUACACACAGGCUUCCCAGAUGUUGCAAGGGGUUGCACCUCUAAGAUGUCAUGCAGCUCAUGGCCUUAAUAAAAGUGCUCCUUUUCUUGUAAAGAUUAAAUCUUCUCACCCAAAGACAAACUUUCUUCCCACAAUCUCCUCCGCCAAGGUGUAUGGUGUCUGUGCCACUGAGAUCUCCUACUCACAGAGGAGAACUUACUGGUUCCAGGUUAGACUUCAUUCCUGGUUCCAUCCAUUUCCUGCCAUUGUCUUUUUCCCUCCAAGGUGUUCAUGCAAGGAAGUUGGCUGACAAUGAGUUUCAUAAACUGUUACGAGAGUUGUCGUUGCAGGCCUUGGUGUAGCUCAGCAGUGUGGGACCCAACCAUCCUAAAGGGUGUACUGGGCUGAGCAUAUCCCAUUUCCCUGUCAUGACAAAUACUGUGUGCCGUAUUGACAGGCAUUUGGUUUUAGCAUAAGUAAUCACUGAUAUGUUCUUUUAAGUAAGAUUCAUAGAUGAUGACUGCAUUUACUGCAUAAAUUACUUCAUUAUUAAAAUCAGGUCAUUUGAGCCCCAAAACCAUUAGCAUGCAAACUAUUAGCAUAAUUUCAUAAGCUAAUAAAUCAAGCGCAGGAAAAGAAUUAAGUGGUUCCUAGUGAUAAGUGUUUCUUCAGAGAUUAAGAAACACAAUUUUCUUAUGCAUAUAUUAACAUUUUAAAAGUGAAUUCAUGCAAAAGCAAUUUUUCUGCAUAUAUAAAACUUAUGUUUAAUAAUCUUUAUACUCAGCCUCCAGAGCUCCUUCAAAAUUAAUGUUUUUUCUCAAAUCACUGUACAGUAAUUUGGAGUUGAACCAGCUAGCCUGUUUUGAUAUAGUCUACCUGUAAAAUUCUCUAUGUUUCUAUUAAACAGUCAAAGUUAGGAAAUAAGCCAAGAUAUGAUUUAGAAGAAAAAUAGCUUGGAUUCAUCCUAGAUAAUGAAAUGUUCACCCAAGGUAAACUUUGCAUUCUUAAACCUAAGCAAUACCAAUGAAAUUGUAAUUAUCUCCAUAAUUGCAAUCUAGAACUACACUUGUCUUCUUAUUACAAUGGUGCAUUAAAAUUGAUUUAAUUCCCAUAUCUUAUGUUUAAUUCCCAUUUCUUAUGUAAUAGAAUGUAAUAUUGGCCAGAAUGACAGAGAUGGGCUCUUCUAUUUGUCUCAAUGACUAGAUUCAAACUAAUACAGCAAUACAACUGUAAUUAUUUGGAUAGACAAAAGUUGCAUGAAAAUAAAGCAAACUCCAAACUAAAUGAAACUGUAAUAAUCAACAGAUGACAAUGCGUAGGAAUUUUGUGUUACAAGGUGUCCACAAUUUAUUUAUAUUUAGAUGGUUUUGUUUUCCAGCUCCUAGCCUACUGGUUUGGUUUGUUUGCUAUAUUCCCUUUAUUUAUUUAUUUAUUUAUUUAUUUAUUUAUUUAUUUAUUUAUUUAAUAUGAGGCCUUCUAUGAUAGGUUCCAAGGAAUAAGAGAUAAUGUAAUAAAAUACCAUACGGGGUAUUUUGGAUCUUUUGGUUUGUAAAAUAAUAAAACAACCUCAAUCUUUUCCUGCACAUGUGAAAAAAAUGCUCAGUAGUUUCUUGUGCUUGCUGCUGUUUAAUGACAAACUUGACUAAGACAACUCCACACUGAGAACUACUUCUUUGAGGAGGGUGGCAUGUUGCUGGCCAUCUCCCUGCACCAGUUUACCAUGGGACCAGGCACAGACCACAGCUAGCACAAGGGAGAUUACAUGCAAGAGGGGAAGUAUGAGGACACUUCUUUUCACAGCAGCUGGUUAUUUUAUCAGCUUUACUGCAAUUUGAAGCCACAACUUCAGACACAGAAGAAUCAGUGUUGUCCCAAGUGCAGCAGUAGUGGUUUCCUGUGAGCAACAGAGAUGGUGGGACGGUCACCAGGCAGUCUCUGUGGAGGAGAAGGCCAAAAGAAACAUAUUAUGAGUACUCUUGUCACAGUUGUGUAGAUCAUGUACAUUGAACAAGGUGGACCCAUGGCUCAGAAGACCAAGUAUUAAUUAUGUAAAUAAGGAAGAAGUGGUGCACUGUCAAUGUGCAGUUUUCCAUGGCUGUUGUUCUUUUUUUCUGUUAUCCCUUCUGUCUUCUCUGUCUUCUGUAUUUCUGUCAGGACAUUGUAAAUCUCCCAAAUUAUUAGUGUGUUCCAUAACUUUCCCCAUCAGAAGAAUUCAGCAUCUUAUUCCUCAGUUAUGAUCUGUUUUGCAUUCUUUUUUUAAAAGCAGAUAUUGAAUUACUGCUGCUCCUGGCAGGUCUUUAACUUGUUUGGAGACUGUCUGUGCUGUUGUAUAUGCAUGAAUCAUUCGUAUCAGUUGUAGAUUGUCCAGGACUAUGUUUCAGGUACUUCUUCAGAAGGGUUUAUCAAAACUCGCUUCCAGGUCAUAAACUUAUUUUUCAGUGUUUGUGUAACUAAUUGCACAGAGGAGAUUAUGCAACUAGCAUGUUGAAAACACCCAUGUGAAAUGGUAUUUAUGAAAAUUUUCUAAUCAAAAUGUGAGAACAGUUAUGAAGUUUGGCAGUGUUGCUUUCUGUACUACUGAAUAGUAAAAAGAUUUGAAAUCUGAUCUGAAUAAAUUGGCAUGAGUUACGAGUUUUUACAACACAGCAGUCUCACCUGAACUCAAAUGGAGGCUACUGUUCAGAUGCAAAUCCUAACUUGAAGUUUCUGUUCAUUUAUAAUAGAAUACUAUUGAAGACAAAGAACAUGACUCAGCUGAGUAAAAUUCCUUUGUCAGGAUUUUAUUUACAUGUAUGAAUACAUGUAAAAAGAAGAAUUUGCAUUUCCAGGAUCAUUCAGUUGUUUUCCUCAGACAAUGGUGGUAUCUUACCUUUCACAAUGCUAGCUUAUUUCUUUAGUGUGGAGCACGCAACAUGAAAGACCUAACAUGGCUGAGCAAUGUGCUUAUUUUUCAGAAGCCUGUAAAGAAGGUGGUUCCCGCAGGCAGCGAGCUGUGCACUGACCCCAGGCUUCUGCAGCGACUACGUCUGGAGGAGUUUCUCCACUUGCUGGAAAGAAAACAUAAGGAGAAUUUUAGUGGGCAAAAUAAAGGCAUCUCUGCUCAUGUGAAUGCUCACCCAUGAGCACAACAGAGCAACACAUGUGAACCACAGAUUUUGUUUCUCUACUUUUCUUGCAGUCAUUCAUACUGUUACCUUUUUCAAUGUAUUGAUCUGCUUUUUCUGUAAACGGAGACCCCUUGUAAAGGGGUAAAUUCAGCUUGGAAGUAAUGUCUAGUAAUGUCUAGUUUCUGAUAUGCCUUUUUUCAAGGCUCACUGAGCUGAGGAAAAGGGUAUUUAAAAAGCAGACUUUGAAUAAUGCUUUAUUCAUUACACUAAAUAGCUUAUUCAUUUACUAAUCUGACCAAUUCUAACUACUGCUCGCUCAUUGUAUUCUCUCUGACUCACGAAGGAAGAAAAUAGAGACAAGUAGACUGUGUUGUCUGUGCCUGGCAAUUACGGUGCACAUCAGUGGUAGCAGGAUGAGUGGAAGUUCAAAUCCCUUUCUGCUGUAUUCUAUUAAUUCAAGAAACUGCUUUGUAUGAAAAUGCACAUAGGGCAGCACUUAGCACACAUAGUUCAGAGCCAGGAAGGUUGAGACAAUCAGCUGUAGAUGUACUCAGUUACUUCCUGCCAUCAUCUUUCCUCCCACGAAAUCCAGACUACUCAUGGAAAUCCUGAGCUAUUGCAGACUUUUUUUCUGGAAAAAUGACAUGUCACCAAGAUCUUUCAAAUUGCAAGAAAAGCUUUUGUUUUUUGUUAACUCUUUCAAGAAUCUCUUUUUACAACAAAAAACAAAUGCUUCAUUUUCCUUCAGAAGAGAAAAUUGUGUGAAGGAGGAAAACUUACAUAAGAAGCAGUGCUAUAAUGUUACUCCAAAAAUGUCAAACACACAUUUGUUCUUCGGAACAAAAAUUGGAAUUUUCUGUUUUAUUCUCCUGGUAAACCACUAGAUACAGUAUUUUAAUUAGAAGUAACUUUUGAUGACUGAGACAGAAACUGGACCAUGAAAAAGGGGUUCUUCCAGGAGAGAUGUUCAAAGUCCAUUAAGACCACCAUGAAAAUCUCUGUGGCCAUUUCAGUGACUUGCUUUGUUACCAAAUCUGCUCACUUCUUAAACUAGCUAGCCAAUUCAAUCCUUGCUUCAUUUUAGAAUGGGAAAAUAUUUAUUUAACAAGAAAACUGAGGAAUAGUACUUAUUUUUUAAAAGUCUACAAACACCAGUACAUAUGAAAGUGUAUGACUACUGAUGAACAAAGCUUUUGUGCCAAAGAAAACAAGGAACAGGGAAAACAAGAAAACAAGGCUUUAAGGUAGUGUUCCUGCUUUGUCAUGUAGAUCUUGUGCUGCAAAUUUGGAAUUACAAAAUUGAGGUGAUUGUAGAAUUUGUAUAAGUACCUGUUUUUCUUUCCCAUUUUCUUCAGUGACUUUAAACAGACCAAAACCCAAUCAAUUUUUCUGAAUAAUUCAAAAAUUUCAGUGGUGAUGGUGGUCUUAAGUCUCAAGGUAAUAACAUGAGGUUUUUGAGGCAAAGUUAUUCAAAUGGAAUUCAGGUGCUAACUCAGGACUUUAAAAUUUUCUGUUAAAAUAUAUACAAAGCAAUGAAAUUCAAUAUUUCUAAUGUAUCAGAAUAAUCUGCUUAUGCUGUUCUGUGCUGUUUUUGCUGUUUUGUGAAUCUCACUGUGGCUGGUAAAGAAUUUUGUUCAUUGCAGGUGAUCUGCAGUUCAAGGUUCUUCCUUAAGGAAUAAUUCUAAGAAGAUAUUAAUAAAAUUGGAAGAAAUUACCAAGAUAUCAUAAGGAGACCAAAAUGUAUUCACACCUGCAGUACAGUCAGGACAGCAAAGUGAGCAGCUGAGGGCUGGCAUUCUGCCUUCAGAAAGCAGACAGCUGUGGCUGGUAAUCCCCUGAACUGCCACUGUAGGGUUUGAUAAAGCUUAUAAAGCCUCUCUGGCAGAGCUCCUCAUGCUCUACCACCUUAAAAGGCAACUAAGAAGUGUUAAUAGUGUUUAUGUAUGAAGUCAAAGUCUCUGCUGGUGCCAUGAGCACUUUGUUAAGCACAAGAAAUGCAUUAAUGUUUCUGUCUAGAGCCACAAGCAAAAUUCUUUAUUGACCAGGAGGAAAGUUUUGUAAUCUAUUUGAAUAAUAUCCCUUUAAUUAGAAUCAGAAAACACAGGACUAUCAGACUUUAUAAUCAAUCAGUUAGUGAUAAUGCAAAGAUUUCCCACUGUUCCUUGGACAAACCACUUACAAAAGCAGGCUUGUAUUUUUAAACAGAAAUUGGAUUUGAAAGAGAUGUGGCACAAAGGUACCUUAUAGUCUUUGUGCACUAUAAAGAGUUUCAAUGGUGGGAAUAAUUUUGGCUCAUUGGUGCUUGCUGUUGCUUUCCACAAGGAGCCCACGGGGAACCUAUAAGCUUUUUAUAAGAGGCCUGGAGGCCUGUGAAAAAUUACCUGUGAAAAUUCAGGAUUUGCUUUGUAAAGCUCUGCUCUUCCACUGGGUCAAAAAAGAAAACUAGGAGCCUGAAACUGGUAUAGAAGCAUACAUUUGUGCUGUAGAUGACUGCAUGCUAAUACCUGUGUAGUCAAGCACGUGUGUUUGCCCACUAUGGUCUUAAUCAUCUUUUGAGUUCUCAGGUAGAUUUCUCAGUGAUCUGAAUUCUUGGGAUGCCAACAAAAGAAAACUCAAAUUUAUUUAAGGAACUUAUAGGGUUUAAACAGAUAUAUACAUUGGGAAACAAAAUGGAGUGAUUGGAAUGAUGAUUUUAAAUAAAUACCAAAAAAAAAAAAAAAAAAGAAAGAAAGAAAAAAAAAGAAAGAAAAGAAAGAAAGAAAAAAAGAACAACCUCAAACUGAACAAGCUGUGUUUCAUUCUCUUGUUUAAUUAAAUUUUUUGAGAACUCCCUUUUUGAAAAGCAUAUGUGACACAGAUUUCCUAGUCAUUUGGGAAUGAGUUAGAUAUGUGUCUGCAUAUUAUUCAAAUUCCAGCUGAUUAAGACGCUGUAUAUACCAGAAGUUUCCUGUGAUAUUUCUAUGGUUUAUUGUGAACAGCAAAAGUAGCUUGGAACUUUUAGAUGAAAUGAUUUUCAUCCAAAAACACACCUAUUUGUCUAAGCCAAAACAUGGUAGGAAGUGGAUCAAAUAAGAUUUCAAAACACUGAAAAACUGAAUUUGAUAAAAACACAUUUUUAACACUUCAAAGGUUUUGUUCUCUCAAAAAUGGCUUUUAGUUACAAAAUAUACACUAGUUCUAGUACAAUCCAAAUAUUCUUAGAUAACCUAAAAGAAAUAUUGCCAUUGACUCUUUUGACAUUAUCAUUAUUUUUAGUUCCAAAACUUUAUCAAGGUCUUAAUUUGUAAUAUCUUUUUUCUCUCAGUUCAAGAAAGGGAUGUUUUCACAGGAUGGGAAACAGUCCAAAUCCAGUCCUAAUUUAGUCCCUUAUGUUACACAGAACUUGGUUGAACUUGGUAGAAGGGAAUAAAGCAGAACCACAUAAGAACCUCAGGAAAAAAAAAAAAAAAGUUCUACUUUCCCUUUACAUCUGUUCCCUAGCCUUUAAUCAUCCAUUAUCAGCUAUAGUUCUGGUAUGAUUGAUUAUUACCAGGUAUCCAUUCCAGCAAGUAAAGAAUAAUGGUAAAGGAUAAUCUGAAUCUACUGUUUAUGCAAAUGUUCAUGAUUCUCUACUCAAUGACUAAACAAAUACAAAACUUUUUCUAUUCUUUCAAGCAGGGUUAUUUAUUUUAUAUGUUAUAGAUUGAUAUUUACAAAUUAAUCCUUUUUAAAAAUGAAAAAAAAUUUGCAUGUUUGUGUCUCUCUUUCAUAUGAUAAUGAAAAUAAACCUUCUGUUAUUAUGUAGUUGUUUUAUUUCAAGAUAACACAGAAAGAAAACUAGCAUGUUGACUUCAGUUCAUUAGGGAACAACAGAAAAGUUAUCUCUCAUUUUAUGUCCUGAAAAAAUACUGGUUUACCUCAAGUUAUGAUAUACACCAAAUGACUACUGUUCUGCUUCAGUGGUUGAAAAUGCAAAAAAUUAUUUGUAUGUUACUACAUUUUAUUUCAAAGAAAUCUUUUCUUAUUCAUUAUAAGUUUAUUUUUUUAAUUUAGUUACAUGACCUAGAAGUUGUAGUGACUGAAAGCGGACAGUUGGAGGUGAGAUAUCAAGUCUCAAGCUUCUACUGGGAAAAUAUGUAGAAAAAGAAAGUGUGAUUACGGAUGUUUUGUUGAUAAUAUGGGAAAAAGGAAACAGAAGAUUUCUGUCCUUCUUGGAAAAGAGCGCUGUGAGAAUUUCUGACAGCAGAAGUUGAAUCUGAGAUCUGGGUACACUGAAGCCAAUGAUGAACCUCCUGAAAACAUCAUGUCACUGGAGCUGUUUGUCAGGUAGAAGAACAUCUGAAGGCCCUGGAAAAGGAAAGUCACCAGACAGCAGCUCACUCAUAUCUUUGUUGUCACCUUAGAGAAUUAGAGGUGACACUCAAUUUAGAAAAUACUGGGUUUAACUGUAAAUAACGCUUUCAGAAUUUCAUUAAAGAAAGAGUUGACAACUGAACUUUACAACGUUCACUUGCAGGUGCCAGCAGUGGGACAACUCCUCUUUGCCUGACUCAGAUUCAGAGGGGCUUUGGGUUGCCCCAGGCCCAAGAAAGACAAAGGGCGUGUACUGCUAUCCAAUCCAUGAGCUCAUUGAAAAAGGUGAUUUCCUCAAGGCAGAAUUUACAUUUUUGCUGUGUUGGCCAACAUGGUACACAUGUUGGGUAGAUCAUCAACUGCUGUUACUUGUCAUAGUUCUAUGGAAUUUGGUGAAGUCUGAGCAAUCCAUACAAUAUGAGGAUUUCACCUAUAUAAGAAGAAUCAAAGAAUAUUUUACAUUCAGUCAUUUUUCAUGACAGAGGAAUGACUUGAUCAAUACCUUUUUAUAGGGCAUAUGUAACUACAGAAUUAAUUCAAGUAGGUUGUUUUUUUCUUUUUUUAAUAAGCUGGAAGUUCUAUGAUUUUUACACUUUCAUAUGCUCAUUAACUCAUCAUUUACUAUGAAUCCAUCCACUUGCAGAGCUUGAUAUAUAUGUGAUUUGACAAUUACAAUUCUUUCUGUUUAAGGACAAAUUUCAAUUUUCUUGUAAUUUCACCCACUGGAAGGAUAGAAGUAUUCUUUUUCUUUUACAGAGAUGAGUAAUUUUCCAUCAUAUCAUGUGUGGUGGCACUUUUUUUUCUUGAAGAGUUAAAGGCUAGAUGAAAACUUCAUCCUACUUUAUCUUCUCUUUAUAUUACUUGCAGAGUCUUCUCUCUUAGUUAUCUGCUCCUGACAUUUUUAGUCUUAGUUCUGUUCGGUGUCCUUUAUCUGACUCAUAUUGUUCAGAUUGAUCCUUAGAAGAUUCUCUACAAACUGCAGGAAUUAUUUAAAAUCAGGCUGCAAGAAGGGCCAUCCCAGCUCAGACUGAAAAAGACCCAUCUAGCCCAGUAUCUUGGCUCCAAAAAUGAGGACAAAUAGUGAAAAGUGGACGAUUACUGAAGAUUAUAAUAAAAUGAUAAGCUUGCAGUGAUAACUACCCACAUAAUCUUCCCAGCUUCCAGUGAUACAAUAUCCUAAGUCUGAGGCUGCCUCUUUGCAUUUAAUAGGUCCUGGUGGAUGAGUUCGUCCAAGAGAUUUUUAAUUCAUGUCAGCUUCUGUAAACCUCAACAUCUUGUGACAAGCAAAUUCAAAGUUGCCUAACUGCUGCAUGAGGCAACGCUUCUGGUUUUAUUUGUUUUGAAUUAACUAAUUAUUUUAUGCCUCCUUGUUUACUGUCUAUUGUGAUACAAAAACUUCCGUUCCCUCUGUGACCUGUCUUUGCUACUCCUGAUUUUAGAAAGCUUUUAUCUUUCCUUCCACUACCAUAGUGGAUUUCUUUUUUGUUUUGCUCACGUAUGCAAUUUACUGUAAAUUUAGCUGUUGAUAUGGAAAGACUUAAAUAAUGCCAGAUGUCUUUUCUGAUUGUUUUCAAGAAAUAUGGCUGUGGAUGUUUUGUUUCCUAAAUUUUCUUCCUUUCAUCUAAAAUGAUAUACUUGCCUCUACAAUUUCCAAGUUAACCUGAACAAAGUUAAAAGAUGGAAGAUAUUACUAUUUUUUUUAACACCCUACCUUUGUUAUUUGUGCAGUUGUUGCAAUUAAUAUUUGUCUUUUCUAAGAUAAGAGGUCAAUGUUCAAGUGCUUCCUCGCUGCUAGCAGCUGGUGGGCAUCCAUGGCUUAUCCCACAGAGUGCAAUCAGUACCUGACAGUACCCUCCCAGCUGCCCUGCUGCAUGGGAUCACAGUGUGCAAGGCUCUCAGCCACCUCCUGCAGUAUUUUGGAGCACUAAUGCAACAGUGCUAGCUUUCCAAGGAGGCUGGAAUUUACAGUUUCACUCUAAACAAGCUUCUGGACAAGGUCCAUCUGCAGCAGCUUUGUGAAACUGCAGUACAUGUAGAAUAACUGAGAAAGCCGUUGCAUGGGGCACACAAACUCCAAAUUCGGGAAAAUAACUUGUUAAGAGUGCUACCAAAUGAAUUUGCCAUUUUUCCCUUGUACUUUCAUUCUUGAUUAAUGGACUGACCUUGUCUGAGAGUACUCUGAAAGGCUCUGUCAGUUCAGUAGGCAAGAAAAACUUAAGAUACAGACUUGUAACUGCAUUUGCAGCAAUGAAUGCUAACCAGAAGGAGAAAAUCACAGAAUCAUAGAACCAUAGAAUUGUAGGGGUUGGAAAGGACCUCUGAAGAUCAUCUAGUCCAACCCCCUAUUAAGGCAGUUUCCCUACAGUAGAUUGCACAGGAAAGCAUCAAGGUGAGUUUUGCAUAUCUCCAGAGGAGAAGUCACAACCUGUCUGGGCAUUCUGUUCCAGUGCUCUGUAACCCUCAAAGUAAAGAAGUCUUUUCUCAUGUUCAUAAGGUACUUCCUGGGUUUCAGUUUGUACCUGUUGUCUCUGGGCUUCCACUUGCUUCCGGCACUUUAUAAGCAUUGAUAAGAUACCCUCUCAGUCUCUUUUCCAGGCUGAACAGCCCAAGGUCUCUCAGCCUUUUCUUGUAAGGGAGAUGCUCCAGGUCCCUAACCAUCUUUGUGGCCCUCUGCUGGACUCUCUCUAUAAGCUCCCUGUUUUUCUUGAACAGAGGAGCCCAGAACUGGACACAGUACUCCAGAUAUGACUUCAGGGCAGAAUAGAAAGGAAGGAUCACCUCCCUUGUCCUGUUGGCCAUACUCUUUUUAAUGCACCCCAGGAUACCAUUGGUCUUCUUGCCCACAAGGGCACACUGUUGCCUCAUGGUCAACUGUUCUCCAUCAGGACACCUAGGUCCUUCUUAGCAGACCUCCUUCCCAGCAGGUCAGCCCCUAACCUGCACACGAUUUCUAUUCCCCAGGUAUAGCAUUUUACACUCACCCUUGUGAAGCUCAUAAAGGUACCUCUCCAUUCAACUCUCCAACAUAUCUAGAUCUUGCUGAAUGGCAGCACAGCCAGAAAAAGGCAGUAAAUUAUUAUACGUUCCUAGAGGAAAUUAAAACUUGAUUUUUUUUUUUCCUGAAUUCACACACUGCAAAAGCUGGAGAAAUAUAUUUAAAUGCAAACUUGCAUCCUUGUUGUAACUGUGGUAUAACUGUGGUAUUAUUAGUAUGGUUGCAGGGCUGAGCUUUGCUAACAAAAUGCAAAAUCUUUUUAUUUUCAAUUUUUGCAAUAAUAUAUUUCAACAGCAAUACGUAGGCAAACCGUAGGAACUAUCUCCAUUUUCCUUGAAAUGUGCCCCGCAUUACAAAGUGCACACAUGGUGAUAUAAGAGAGCCAUUACAGACUUUGCUGGCUUGCCCAAGACAACUUUAAUAAAUGGAAGGGCCCCGUUCUAUUUCAGGACAGUGGAAGGUUAUGCUGUUCCCCUAUGAAACACACUGGAAUGGUCAUAAACACCAUCCACCUCAGAGCAUUUAAGACAGUAAUUAUACAAUUACUGUAAGGCACAAAUGAAUGAAAUCUUCUUUUAACGUCCUUUCAGUAUCUCAUGAGGGACUAUAAUAAAGAAGGGGACAGACUCUUAACAGGGUCUGCUGUGACAGGACAAGGGGAACGGUUUCAAACUGAAAAAGGGGAGAUUUAGACUGGAUAUGAGGAAAAAGUUUUUUAUGGGAAGGGUACUGGAACACUGGAACAGAUUGCCAGGUUGCCUAGAGAUGUGGUGGAAGCCUCAUCCUUGAAGACAUUCAAGAUCAGGCUGGAUGGGGCUCUGAGCAACCUGAUCUAGCCAUAGAUGUCCCUGUUCAUUGUAGGGGAAUUGGACCAGGUGGCAUUUAAAGAUCCUUUCCAAGUCAAAACAAUUGAUUCUAUGAUAUGCUGAAAUAAGCCUUUGCUAAGGUGUGGGCUUCAAUAUUUAGUAGAAAUUAGAGCUUGCAGCCAGAACCCAAGAUGAAGGGAGAACAUGUUCUGUCUGCAUUUUGGAUAUGAUAGGGCAUUUUGGAUAGGAAGUAUGUUGGUUAAGCUUCAAGCUUUAGGUGACUGUUUUUUGUCUCAGAAAUAUCAGUGUUCCUUUUGCCUACCUGAGGCCAUCCCUUGUCACUCACCAAGGAGUGGACCUUAGGUGCUCUUUGGUGAUCCUUUCUCAAUUUGCCUUGUGAGAUGAGGACAACAUGAACACAAGUGAGAGACCAGUGUUUUGAGAUAUUUUGUGUCUUCAGUGGCCAGUUAUAUCUGACUAAAAUGCUCCUACAUAUCUGCUUUGGUGUCCUCCUCAGAACAUUCAAAGCAGUACUUCAGUAGUACAAACCAGAGAGCCCGCAACAAUUCCUUGUCUGUAAGUGACUUAAGUUGUGUUUAAUGCUCUAGAACAACCUUAUUGCAACAUCACAGUGAUAUCUUCCAAACCCAGCUCUUUAUAAAGGCUGCAUUGUCUGCCAGACUGAUGUUAACACACAUGAUUUAAAUGAUGACACAAGCAAAAGUUCUGCUCUAAAAUGAGGAAAUUAAAAAUAUCAAAAUAUUAUCUUUCCUCUUGCCAAUGAGAACAGCUGGCAGGAUGGGUUCACUGAACAAAACUUUGGCCAGUAGACGUAGGUUAUCAUUUCCACAGACUUUCCCUCUGAAAUACAGGAUUAACAAAACAUGCUAUUUAUUUUAUUUUAUUUUAUUUUGAAAUUGGAGCAUUUGUGCCUUUCAUCUGGUGAAAUUUAGCGUAAAAGUGAAAAUAAUAUCAAAGUUACAGGCGUCAUAGGGAGGCUGUUAAUGUGGGAACAAGGGGCAUUUGGCCAGUUAAAAUAAUAAAAGGCUAUACAACUUUCCCAGUGAUGGCUGAAACCCAAUUAGUACUUUCCAAGUAGAGCCACAAUAUUCCUUUCCAGAUUAUGCGGUUUGGCAUGAUUCAGAAUGAGUAAACUUGCUUUCCUACAAGGGAAAAAUAUAAUUAACAGGAAAAAAAAAAAAAAAAAAAAAGGUCAUGCAGCAUUAUGCUUUAAAUAAGCAAUAAUACACCAUGGGAUAUACAUUAAUCAGUCAAUAUUAAUACACCUUGGACAGGCUGAGGCAGAGGCAAAACAAUGUCUCAGCAUACAAAAACAUACAUAUGUUAUCCUGAUAAAACUUGCACCUAUGUGCAAGAAUGAAAUUCAAAUGAAUAUUGUAUUUCUUUACUGGACGAUAAGAAGGGAAGGUGGAUUCAGUGCUCAUGUGCAGAGUAAUCAAACAUCCUUCUUGAGAAGUACAUUUUCUACUAACAUUAUACACUUUAAAGCAAUAUGUGGUUUAGUUAUUUUCCUUUUGUUUGAACACCUGUUUUUUGUUUUGUUUUGUUUUGAUUGUGCUGCUGCUGAAGGCAGAAUGGUUUGGAAUAUUCUUUUUUUCUUAAUUUGUUAAAAGGGCUUGGAAACAAGAUACUCACACCAAAAGGCACUCCGUAUGUUCUUACUUAUAGUAAACAACUUCUCAGGACUCUGGAAGUGACAUAAAGCCUUCAAAGACUCAACAAACCUGGAAAUAAACUAGCAGGAUUAGAAAAACAAAACAGCAGUUUCCAAUUUGGAGGUGAAUGUGCAAAUGAAUUGUAAGGAUUGUUUUCUCUUCUGACUGGUUUUCAACAGUGUUUUUAAAAUGAGCAGAAUGUUCAGCUGAAGCUCAGAAAGAGGAGAACACUUGUAAAGCAAAGGAAAGCAUGGUAACCCAUGGUAAAUACAUAGUAUGGCGGCAGAAUGAAAACAGCUCUGCUGGGAGAUCUGCUUAUUGCUCAGCUAAUUACUCUGUUCAUGAGAAAGCAGAGUGAUAUGCUCGGCGGAAGAUGAAAAAAAGAAGAAAAAGUAAAACUUCAAAAACCUGGGAACCACACCCAUCACCUGAAGCUUAGACCACACACCUGAAAGGGAGGAACCUACAUCCAGUCCCAGCACAGAGUAUGAACAUCCUUAUCUUCCUUUCAACUCCACCAUUUUGCAGUUAUUUUAUGUACUUACAGAGAGUGUUUGUAAGGGAGGAAUUGCUUUUUCAUUUCUUGCUUCUUCAAUAGUUAAAAUAACUUGUGAUAUCAGAAACUUUGAUGAGCUGCAGUGCUGCUCCUGCAUUACUGUCCCAAGUUCAGUCCAGUCCCAGCCCCAAAUGUGUCUCCUUUCUCUGUGAAGAUCCCACACAGUCAUCUGAACAGCCCUCCCUGCUGUACUGUGGGUGAAGGAGGAGGAAAUGCAUGUGCAGUGGAUGGAGGAGUUUAUUUGUGACCUGCUGUAUUGUACCAAGAGUCACAUAUAUGUUACAUGCCUUCUCUCCAAGUUAAUCCACAAAUCAAUAACUGAUUGUAUAUAGCACUCCGCUGUCAUCUACACAAGUUAAGAUAUGCCCUGAAACACCUGAUUCUAAGGAGUUACUUGAAAGACAGGAAAAUCCUCAUGAGCCAUAGAAUUGUUCUAAGUAUUAAACCAAUUCAAAGAAAAAAAAAAGAAAACAAAAGGCCCAAAGCCUUGUGUUGUGGACUCCAUGAUUUUAAACUGCUCCCACUUCUGGCAGACUGAAGGGAAAGAGAAGGCAGCACUGCGGCAAAGCUCAGAGAGAGGGGCUGUCCCACCUGCCUGCAUGGCAUGAGAGCAUCAGUGCUGAUGCACAGCCUCUACUUCUCAGAGCUGAACCUUCUGCAGUUUUGUUCUUGAAUCAGUACAUUUCUCCUUGCAAUUUGUGAAAUCCUUCCGCUGGACAUACAUUAGAACAAGUAUUAUUGCUCCUUGGAGUUUUACCACAUGUUCUACCAUCACCUCUCUAUCUAAAAACGAACCUUAACCCUGUUCUCUUCUUAAGACAGAUUCACCUCACUGAUGGUAAGGAAUGGACAUGUAUAAUUCUGUGGUCUAACAGAUUUAUGCAACAUAAGCAUGAAGAAAUGAAAAUGAUACAUAAAUACAAAGAAGGACCAAAAAUUUCUAUGCCUAAAGACAACUUCUCUAUAUUUCCAUACUUAUAAAUCUAUUUUUAGGAAACAACAGCCUGAUUUCACCUUAAAUCAGAGCUCCAAAAAAUCUUUUGGAAAGGAACUCACCAUAAGAAAUUAAGAGUGAAUGACCGAGGAAAAAAAAAAUCUCUGUUUUACAUGGAAAAUAUUUUCUGAAUACUUUCUCAUAUUAAUACGAAAUGGGUUUUUACUUUGUAUUAACUAAUUAAUGAGACAAGCUUCUGAUAUGAACACAACCUUCUUAGCUUGGAAAAUUUUAUUGAUUUUAAGUUCAGAUGACAUAAGAAUGUUUUUCACAAGAGAAAAAGUCAUUAUUUUACACUAAGAAAAUAAUGCAAUAUUUCUCAUAUAAAUAACUGUUCAAGGGUGAUUCUGUGCUCUGAAGCCCCCCCAAGCUGUUUCUAAUAGCUUAACAUGUUUUCUGCAUAGAAGAUUUAUUAAUGGCUAAAUUAUGCCAUGGAAAAAACACCUUGUCAAACAACAAUCCCGUAUUUACCUGCAAAACCCACUAUCCUUACACACAGCAAUUGUAUUUUAUUUUCCUUGUGUUUUUGUUCUUGCAGUGCUUUCAUCACCCCUGUGGUUCCAUGUACCCUCCAGCGCAAUGCGCAUUAAGCAAUGCGACUGAUAUCUGUCAUGUGUAGUUUAAUUCUUUCUUAAUUAGCCUAACACCUCUAUCAGACUAAAAUCAGUCAUACGGUAUUAUAAUCUACGGCAUGUCUUACUUUGCGUCAUGUUUCUCUUUGUAAGGUGGUUUGUAAAUCGCUUUCCUUUAGCAACUCAGUAAGUCUAUCAUUACUGAAAGAGGAGGAUAAUGACAAAGCUCUGUCCCAGUCUGGCAAAUACUUUAGCUAACCUCAACCAGCAAAAAAGAAAGUGAAUUAGGGAAAAAGGUUGCUUUCACAUUAAUCUUGUCAAGCCAGAAUGAUCAUUCGGUUACACCCUGCUGCAAACAUCUGAUGUCUGAACUUGUCUGAAAUACUUCUUAAAAAUCAUGAGUUGGAGGUCAAAUAAAGUAAUCUCUUCUAACAGAAAUAUCACCUCUUUUAUUUUUGAAGCCACUAUUUUUAUAUGCUAGGUUUAUAGACAUCAUAGAUCUCAGGAUUUAUAGAAUCGAAGCCUUCCAAACUCACCUUAACAAAAUGAAAAAUAAGUAGACUUCUUCCUCCUUUGAUGAAAGUCAUUAUGUUAACACUGAAAAAUGUCCACAGCUUAUCUGCUUGGUAUACCAGUCAUUAGUCCACAGCUAUCAGCUCCACAGGGAUUGUCUAAACAGAAUACAACACAUUAAAACAUGACUAGAAACACAUCAAAAAUGUAACAUGUUCACUUAACCACCUCAACAUCAAAGAAGGUAUUACGCAGCAACAGCCAAGGAGGGAACAUUAAGUAGAACUGCCUUUUAGUAACUUAAUAAAAUAAUCCUGCAUAAAUACAAAUUCCCAUUCCAAUAGGCAGAUUCUCAUCAACGUUAAAACUGACAAAAAGAUUUUGCAAGAAUUCUAUUAAGCUGUGCUUGCCAGCAAUUAAUUCCUUUCUGAAUAAAUUUUCUUGUCCUAGUACUCUUAGGAAAGAAAAAGAAAAAAAAAAACCAAAUUAUAACGCAUUUUUAAAAGAUUUAUCUUUUUCCUUCCAAAAAAUCCCAUAAAAGCCUACUUCAUCUUUCUAAUAAAUAGAGAAGCUCUUCCUAGAAAGUGUGACAAUGCACAACUCUUCUACUGUCUUUAAUUUUACAACCAUAGCUGUUUAAAAUUGCAGGCUUCUAUGACAAAAUAAGGAAAUUUAAAUCCUUUUCUUAGGGAUUUGAAGUUUCCAAAUUCCCAGAUACUUGAACUAAUACUCCAAAAUCAUUAAGAUGUUUCUGAAAAUCUCAGUGUUUUUUAAAAGCUAAUAGAUAUAAAUACUGUUUCAAAUGCGUGACCCUUAAGAUGGAGCCUUUACAACCAGAUAGCAUCAAAAGGCUUUUUACUGUGAACAACUCUAAAAGUAUUGAGGCAAAUAAGUAAAUAUUAAUUUAUUUGAAACAGUCAUGUAAGGAACAUAUUUCAGUGGUACAUCAAACCACUUCCAGGAAGUGACUUGUGAAUAAUACUGCCUCUACAGACCUGUCUACCACAGAGACUACCAGAAGUACUUUGCUGUAGAUACCACUACUGUUUUCUUUUAGUUGUCUACCACUAUCAUGGUAGAAGCAGUAGCCAGAAGCUGUGCGUUAAGCUUUAGUUCCACACCAGAAAAGACGUUCAGCUGUUUUGGCAGUGAAUGUAAACCCAAGGCUUUUCCCCAGCUUCUCUGAGGAGGUGUUGGGCUGCAAAACCCCAUAAUCCUUGCAUGCCACAUUGAGGGAUUCUGUAAGUGAGAUUGGGUUCUCCUGCUCUAGUACAUCUGAGAAUUUUUUCUCCAAGCUAAAUAAAAUACAAUAUUCAAACAUCUCUGUGUACAUAAGAUAAACAAACAAACAGCAGCAACAAAACCACCACAUUCCUAAGGUAGUUUCUGCAUUUAUACCACUAUGUUCUCUCACACCAUACUUCCAAAAAUUUCUUAUUCCUUGAUCAUUCCCAGUGCUUUCAGUGUGAUAUUUCCCUUUGUCUCACAAUGCUAUUCCUUUAUAUUUUUCUAUUAUGUUUGGCAUCAUCUUAUCCAAAACAUGUAAUACCUUUGGAAGAAGUACACUGAGAAUACACACAGUUAAACUAUCUUUGAAACAUGUAAUGUUGGCAAGAGAAAGAUUAAUAAAAGGACGACUAUAAACUAGAAGCAUAUCAGUUGCUAGCAACAUAGAAGAUAGGUCUCGGUAUGCGUAUUAGGUGACUGUGUAGUUAUUAAGUUGUCAGUGGGAUACAACAAUGAGAAAAUAAAUGUCAUGCAAGGAUGGGCCACUUACAAUAUUUCUUGUAGAGAAAGGUGAAACAGCUGUACUUUAGUUAAAGGCACCUGAAGGAUCUCAAACAGAUUUUUCUCAUCAUGAUCAUGAAAGAUUAAAUAGGUAAAGAGCUGCAGUAAUUAGUAGGGAGAAGUCUUUUUGAGAGAAUGGCUGUGCAAUUUCUACUUGUUUAGUGUAGCAGAAACAAAAGCUGAUACAGGAAAUAAUUAUCCUCUAAAAACACAAUAGGCUGGUAAACAGUAGGCAGAGAAAAGAACUAUUUACUCUACUGGACAAUGUUGGCACAGGAACAAGUGGGUGUAAUUUGGACAUAAAUAAAUGUAGGCUGGAAACUGGAAGGUUUCUGACUACAAGAGUGGUGAGAUUCUAGAGUAGCUUUCUAAGAGAUGUUAUGGGGAGGAAAAAAAACAACAAAAAAAUCAAUCCUCAAGCUAUUUAAUGAUGAGGAUUGCUAAGAUCAUGGAAAACUCUAGAGGCAUAUUUCUCGUGUAGGUAAGAACUGCAUUUUGAUCAUCCAGGAGAUAGCUUCCAGCAUAAUCAUUGCCUGCUUUCUGAAAGCGGGAUUAAAAAAAUAUAUAUAUACAUAACUAUAUAGAAAUUAAACCAUAUUUUAUAUUUAUAUUUAAUCAUGUUGAUGUAUUAGAAAUAUUGUUUCAGCAAAUGCUAUCCGUAUGUAGAAGGUAUCUGUAAUUAGGUUUGUGCUUCACAAAAAGAAAACAGUUUAAUUUGAUAAACAGUUAUCACAUUGUAUUCCACUGUCUGGAAGCUGAUUUUUCUAAAUGGAAAGACACAGUUUGUCACAUGUUAAUUUUCUUUCUUUUCUGUAUUCUUUUUUAUGUUCUAUCUUCAUUUUCUCUACAAAUCCAAGGAGCAAAGGAAAAAUUAAAUAUUGCAAAAGCAAAAUCAUAGAAUAAAGAUAUUCCUCUACAAGUGCCAAAAUAUAAACAAGUGAUAGAAUCCCACUGAAAACAGGGAAAUGAUGGCAUAUGCAUAUUUGAAAGUCAUGUCAAGUGUAUGUAUAGAUAUGUGUAUAUGAUUAGACAGAUAUUUUCAUCAUAAACAGAUUAUCAUUUAUAUUUUUUUUGUAAUGCCACUUUAAAAAGAUUUAUUGUGGAGGAAACGAUAUUAUAAACUGGAGUAUGCAUAAGCUAUUAUCUUACAGUUCAUAACUUCUCAUCAAAUAUUACAAAAAUACAUCAAAACAUGAUAUCAUAACCAUCAAAAGUCACACUGGUUAGUGUACUUGAUGAGAUAGUGGAGCAUCUCUAUGUGGCUGUAACAUAUACAGAAAAAGGGCACAGAGAAACUCUGCACCUUGCUAAUGGAGAAGCACAAUUAUAUAGGCUGGCUAUAAGAGGCUACACUCCACCUGCUGAAAAAAAAUGUAAUAGCCCUAAUGGUGACAGAAUUAAUUUAGAGAAAUUAAGAUAAUAAGAAAAAAAAAAACAUGUCCAUGUGAUAUAUAUGCAGUAUAAAAAAAAAAAAAGGCAAAUUAAUUUGAUUAUUGAAAUGAAUUUGUUUAAAGUUACACAAGAUUUUGACUGAAAUUUUCCUACACCGAUUUAUUUUUGCAUACGUAAUAUUACUGAAAUGCGCUGUUUCUUUCCCAAAGAAGGUCUGAAUGCCUGCCUUUUUUUUCCAUCAGUAAAGGACAGAAGUAUGUAUUUGGAAACAAAUAGGUUUAUGAAUCGUUAUAGAUUUAAGGGUAAACUGUCUGAACUAAAGCCAAAAUAGACAUUUUCAUACUUCUCCAGUUUUGUUGCUGACUGAAGUCAAGUAGCGCAAAGACAUAGUAAAAAUAAUGCUAAAUAAUUAAAAAUAUGAAACUCAAAUUUUGAUUCACUUUAAUUCAAAUGUUCAUCCAUGAAUGUCAGUUGUUGCCAUUUUUUCCACAUGGAGGAAUUCAGUGACACCUUUUCUUCAUACACACUUCCAUGUCAGAGUGUCCCUCUGCUGCCCUCUGUCACAUGGCAACAAAAUGUAAAAGCAUAUUGGCAGGCAGGUUCAACCUCUACUGCCAUACCACCAACUUUCACCUCUAGUGUUAUGGACCAACAUAAUAAAAUAGGAGGCAUUACUUUUGGAGAGCCCUUGUAGAACAUUCGGGACACUGGCAGAUGGAAGUCAUGCAAAUCAGAUUACAUUCUGCUACUUGUAAAUGUAUAAUGUUACGAGAGUGAUUGGUUAGUUGUUCAUUAUUAUUAUCAUUAUUAUUAAAAUAUUUAUUUUCUCUAGCACCUAAUCAGAGUCUGAAACCACAGCUCUUUUCUUUGAGGGUCUGAUAUUAUUUUCUCUCUUUUAAAUGCAAUCAUCAAUCCAACACUACAUUUGCAUGUUUUAAAUAAAAAUAGAUAAGAGAAUUGCAAUGAGGUUGUUCAAGAAAAAGCGGUUGCAUGUAUAAUGCGAAUCUUUCAGAUUUUAGUCUGUAGCUUUAUUCUGUCUGCUUUCUAAAAGUAAUCUCACAGGGGCACAUAGCUUUCUUACAUGGUGACUGUUCAUCAGCCAGAUGAGAAUCAACUCCCAAGUGUACCUCUUUUGUUUUCCCUUCAUAUGGCUCUUUGCACAAUCGUACUGAUGUUUUUUAUAAGAAGUGUGACUAGUAUAUAAUAAUGCAAUUCUUUUCUGCGCUAUUGUUAUGAGUGCAUAUAAACUGUAGAAGAAAUUGAACUAUUAAUCUACCAACAAGGUAAUUAUUUCAGAGGUGUAUACCAGCAGUGUCCCUGGGCCACUGCUAUAGUGGAAGAUGAAAGGACCUCUCCAAAUCCAAGAAGGUUGGGGAUUUUUCUAUAUCAUAUUAUGGCAACAUUUUAACACUUCACAGAUAAACUAGAAUGACUACUAUGGUUUGGUACUCAGCCUUUUAUUUUUCACUCUUGAUACCCCCGGAGUGCCACUCAAAAUUCAUUCAAGUAGUCACUUUAUAACUUUUGUGUAUUAGUGAUACAAUCACCAAAUUUUGUGUAUAUAUACACGUAAAUAUGUAUGUGUAUAUUUAUUCCCAAGUACACAGUGAGGUUAUUCUUAAUGCUCUUAAGGAAAAGAAAUUCAUAAUAAAGUCCUUAUUUUCCCAGUAAUAUGGAGGUAUGCACAUACAAAUCUGUAUGUGGCAUAGGCACAGAAAGAGUAUGCAGGUAACACUAACUUCCGUUAAAGCUUAGUGUUUCUCACCAUGACCUUGUUCUGUGCUGCCUGCAAUAGUACCAGACUUCAUUAUAUUAGUA
ensembl:lncRNA